GAUGAACGCUGGCGGCGUGCUUAAUACAUGCAAGUCGAACGAUGAAGCCCAGCUUGCUGGGCGGUUUAGUGGCCAACGGGUGAGUAACACGCGAGUAACCUGCCCUUAACUCUGGCAUAAGCCUGGGCAACUGGGUCUAACUACGGCCAGGUGCGAUCACCGCCCGCAGGGUGCUGGAAUGAUUUAGCGGUUUUGUAUGGAUUCGCGGCCUAUCAGCUUGUUGGUGAGGUAUUGGCUCACUAAGGCGAUGCCGGGUAGCCGGCCUGUGAGGGUGACCGGCCACACUGGGACUGAGACACGGCCCAGAAGCCUACGGGAGGCAGCAGGGGGGAAUAUUACACAAUAGGCGCAAGCCUGAUGCAGCGACGCCGCGAGCGGAAUGACGGCCUUCGGGUUGUAAACCUCUGUCAGAAGGGAAGAAGCGAAAGUGACGGUACCUGCAGAGAAAGCACCGGCUAACUACGUG
rnacentral:rRNA from 1 species